rnacentral:rRNA from 1 species
GAUCCUGGCUCAGGAUGAACGCUGGCGGCGUGCUUAACACAUGCAAGUCGAACGAAGCACUUUACCACGAUUCCUUCGGGAUGACGGUUUAGUGACUGAGUGGCGGACGGGUGAGUAACGCGUGGGGAACCUGCCCCAUACCGGGGGAUAACAGCCGGAAACGGCUGCUAAUACCGCAUAAGCGCACAGUACCGCAUGGUACGGUGUGAAAAACUCCGGUGGUAUGGGAUGGACCCGCGUCUGAUUAGCCAGUUGGG